rnacentral:rRNA from 1 species
GACAGAGGCCCCAAGCGUUAGGCGGAAUCACUGGGCUUAAAGCGUGUGUAGGCGGACGCCUAAGUGUCUUGUGAAAUCCCACGGCUCACCCGUGGAACUGCUGGGCAUACUGGGCGUCUUGGGCCAACUAGGGGCAGCCGGAACAAGCGGUGGAGCGGUGAAAUGCGUAGAUAUCGCGUGGAACGCCGAAGGUGAAAACAGGCUGCUGGGGUUGUGCCGACGCUGAGACACGAAAGCCAGGGGAGCAAACGGG